GAACUGUAACAUCCGGUUUGUUCGUCGUUCUAAAUGUUGAAGUUGACGGCUGUAGUACCGGGGUAAUACCUUAUUUGCGAAAUGCCUAGACGUAAGAAGAAAAAAUUGACUGAGAGGUUGAGUGCAUGGAAGGAAGAGCA